GAAGCAGCAUGAGCUGGCGUCUAAGGAUUAUGAAAACUGAGCAAGUGCCCAGGACUAGAAACUUCCCAGCCCCCUGAACUCAGCCUCAGGGUAAGCGAGUUUAGUAGUGCUUCCUUUGAUUUUCAAAUCUGUGGAAGGUUUGUUUCAGUUUUUCCCAGACAAAUAUUGUUGGGAUAGUGUUUCUUUUCAAAAAUGGAUAGGAUUCAAUGCUAAUCAAUGGGAAGACAGUGACUCCUGACCAUUUUCCUCCUAGCUGGAAACUACAGAAGACUCCCAAGUAUCAGGAAAUUUGGAGAAUUUGUGCAGGAAUUAUAUUCAGAGAUAGCAAUUUAUUUACUCAUCAAAGAGAGCUAUUGGAUAGCCACCAUAAAGACCACUCAUUAAAAAACAAAAUUGCAUGAUAUUCUUAACAUUGUCUUUCACUUUUUUUAACCAGGCUUGGUGGAGUUUCAAGAUGCUGAUGAACUUAAGGUCUGGCGCUUGAAAGAAUCAGUGAAGCUUUUCAAGUAGAGGAGGUAUAUUUGAAUAUGUAACCUUUAGUAUCUACAGAAUAGAGGUUGCUUUUUUU
rnacentral:sRNA from 1 species